GCAGAUGUUCCGGAAUGAAACUGCUUUCAGUUGGGUGUUAUAGUUCGUACUGCACAAAGGUUGUGUACACUGAGAGAAAAGUGGAAUCGAGCGGAAAACUUGUAGCAAUUUGUAAUAUUUUGUCACCUGGAAGCAGCGUUUGGAAGACACCAACGGCGCUCAACAACUAUUUAUUAAUAAUUAAACAAGUGCAAACAACAUGAUGACACAAUCCUCUACAAGGGUCCGUGGCUGCAAGUUGCAGCAGUUCGUCAAUCCGAAGCAGAACUGAAUGACGUGUGGUGCGUCGAUUCCGGCUACCGAUUCGCGCCAAUAUGCGAACCUGAACAUAUAUAAUGUACUGAAACGCGUAAUCACGACAUUGUUUCACAGGUAUAACCAGGUCUUGCCUGGCCCAUAAACGCACCCCUUGUUGAAGUUCGAACGACUGGCUGCUGCUGUUACAUUGCUGGAAUUAUGUCUUUAUUGGGGCACUCGGUACACGGGAAUCGUUCGAUGUCGCGUGUCUUAUCGCAAUAAACCGUGCGAAGUUGGUGGUGAAAUUUAUGCACAGGAUGUUCGAAUGGAACGCAACGUGUUGCUAAACUCGUUUCUGGUGGAUUAGCUUAUCAGACGCUGUACUGUGUAUACUGUUGAGUGGAUCGACAGUGUGACACGGCUCCCAGAGAACUGCACCUGGGGUGAGGUUUUUGGCAAUGACAAAUCUAUUACCAGAAAUGUGUUUGUGUGCUUUUGUUUAUGAUGCCCGAGCUGGUUAAUGAAUGAGUUUGCUAACAGGGUUUCUUGUGAUUGCGAUAAACAUUUUAGGUUUUAUGUUUGUUUACCUCUGAAUAAUGAAGCACGUGAUGACCGAUGACACUGCCAAUAAAAUAUUCGUGAAUGGUGGAAUAAUUUAUUCGAACAAGUAAUUUAAAAAACAUCAAUUGUUUCGGGUAGUGGAAAACAAAAACUGUUAUUUAUUUCAAAAUAGAUUUGAAUUUCAAACAGUG